UUAGGAGUGACGUAGUUGUUUUCAACCGUUAGGAGUGAAGCAGUUGUUUUCAAACAUUCUCUGCUAACAAGGUUGUAUAUCAGAAAGCUAACUCAGUGUUGAAAAUAGGAGCCCAUGAUCAAAAUAAAGGUGUGGCCUUACGUCUCAACAGUUCAGCAGGAUUCACGUCGACGUCAGACUUCAAGGAUUGUGCUGGGAAAGGAGGGAGCCAAGAAAAUAACCUGGAAUGAUGAGAGAGCUAUCGAACAACUCAAUCAAACAUCCAGCGCUGCCCUGUUAGCAAGGGGGGCCCCCCCUGAGGAGGCGGGGCACAUCAACCUCAAUCAGCGGGGGUGAUGCAGAUGGAUCCGUGUGUAUGCACGCCGCACGCACGCAUAUAAAGACGUACGCGCGCAAGCAAGCAAGGGCGGAUGGAUAAAUGUGGUGGUGGCGGCGGUGGUGGUGGUGGUGCGGAGAGACAAGAGAGCAAAGAGAAAGAGAGAGAAUACGAUGGAGACAGCAAACAACAGGAGAGACAAACAGAGUGUCUUUCACUUCUCCGCUCCAGUGGACAGGAGGAAUAAACCAGCAAAGACCUGCCUGCUAAA